rnacentral:lncRNA from 1 species
GGCUGGGCUAGUUCUGGGUCCCUGGGAGGAGUGAGUUGGGGGCCCUGCAGAGGGCUGGGACCCAGAGUGUGGGUGAGCAUUAGAAGAGCGAGCUGGGGGCUCUAGGGCAACUAGGAACUUGAAGAGGGAUGGGAGGCAGGGCUGCUGGGUCCCUAGGAAGGGCUGGAGGAAUCCCGGAACGCCUGAGUUCCGGGAAAGCCCCUUCCUCACUUACCCUCGCCGGACCUGGGGCCAGGUUCAAGCAGCAGCAGCAGCAGCAGCAGCUACGGGAGCCGCAGGAGCAGCUUGAUUGGCAGGCGCACAGGUAGCGGCCCCAUCGGAGGGUGGCAGAGGUGGGGCGGUGCUGCCGGGCCGCCGGAGGCAGCAAGCCCAGCGGACACACACCCUGGAUGCCACGCCUCGGCCCGGCCCUCGACCUCACCUUCCCUCGGGGCCCAGGCGGAACCAGCUAGGGGUGGGCACCUGGGGUGGCGCAAAGGCAUCCUGAUCUCUGCAUCUUGGUCACUGAAGGGGCUCGAGAGGCCGCGGGGCGCUGGGGACAGGACCGGGAGUCAGGCCCAGGAAAGUCUCCUCGGAAUAAGGGAGGAAAAGGCGCUCUUUUGAUGUUAUUAUUCCCCCAGCCCCUCCCCCGCUCACCUGGGCGCCCAAAGGGGACAGAAGACUUGGAGGAGGGGUAGUCCUGAAUUUACUUUAGCAUUUUAUUUCAUUUGGCCGGGUGCGAGGUGGCUCACGCCUGUAAUCCCAGCACUUUGGAAGGCCGAGGCUGGCGGAUCACCUGAGGUCAGGAGUUCAAAACCAGCCUGGCCAACAUGGCGAAGCCGUCUCUACUAAAAACACAAAAAUUAGCAGGGCGUGGUGGUGCGGACCUACAAUCCCAGCUACUUGGGAGGCUGAGGCACAGGAAUCGCUUGAACACGGAAGGUGGAGGUUGCAGUGAACCAAGAUCACUCCACUGCACUCCAGCCUGGGUGAGAGCCAGACUCCGUCUCUUUCUCUUCCUCCCUCUCUCUCUCUCUCUGUCAGUCUAGAGAGAGUUGAUUGUCCCCAGUCAGUCUCUCUCAGUCGAGAGAAGGGUGGGGGGGAACGGAGGCUGG